AACUUUACUAAAUCUUACAAGAACUAUUUACAGGAAAUCUUACUGUAAUUAAAAAAAAAAAAACUCAGUUCAUGAUCACAAAAACAAACGGCCCAGUGGCAGCCCCAGACAAACGCAGCUUCUCUGAUGACAUUAUUGGUUUAAUAGGCUCCUAUAAGGCAGCAGGACACUGAGCCACCCAGCCUCUCUCCAGCUACAGCGUAUUCUCGCUCAACUGGCACGUGACCCGAAAUCGGAGACAGGCUGACGUCAUCCAAUGCGACGGCUCCUGAAGCCACACUGCUACAGUCUCGCCAUCUCUCUCACUUUGUGAAACAGUACACUGACUCAAGGCUGUUGUUGAUUGAGGCAGAAGUGUGAUCGAGUUCAGAAAGAAUCUCAUCGCCAAGAGGCAGAGAAGAAAAAGAAGAAGAUGCCAAAAAUGUAUCCAGCUGGCCAGAAGAGUUUACAGAAAGAACAUCAACGUGAAGAGGAUGUCUCUGAAAAGAGGAACAAAAGAAAGGGCAGGACUAACAUUCAGAGACCACGCAAAAUUAUAAACCGUAUGAAGGUGAAAGAUUGUAAUAUGGGCCCAGAUGAAGACUUAAACAGAUUGGGCUCCAGUUUGGGCAGACGCUGCUACUUGAAGGACAGUAAUGCCCACAAGCCGUCAGAAUCCUCGAAGACUAACACAGUGAGGCCCGAGAAGAAAUUGUGUCCAAAUCAAACUGGAGAAGAUUAUCAGAAUCUUGGGAGUGGAGUGAAGGUCCAACAGUCUCUGAAACAAGAAGACCAUCUUACACAGUUGGUGGUCAGCAGUAUUCACUACUUGAAUUAAACAUACAGUGCUGCUGGGGUCCCAGAAUUGUCUUAUCAGUUUAUGUUGAUGAAGGUUUGUACAAGUAGGGGCACAGGAUUGUGUUAAGAAAUAGAAAAGUCAGGAGGGAGGAGAUGAAAGAGGAACUUAACUUUGCUGAAAUGCGCAGCUGCAACAGGAGAAGACAUUCAAGUGAGAUAAGCGGUUUGUUAGCUUAGGCUGACAGGUGUAACUUGUGGUGCGUAACUUCUAUUUUUGUCAGUAGGUUUGACAAACCUUUUCAAAUCAUUAAAAGCCACCAGUCCCCUCUUUACCCACUGAAUCAAUCAUAACUUUUGAUUGUGCUAUCAGAUUUAAUAAAACCCCCUUGUUCUCACUAAAUGUUUUCAAGUGCAUUGUUCUGUUAAACUGUGACCAUCCCUUCUCCAUUAGUAAAUAGCUGAUUGACCUGACUUAAGCUACUUAACUGCACCACCAUAACAGGGAUGGAUGUGUGUCGUGUUAAAAGGAAAAAGUGUUUUAACUUUAUAGGAAAGGGCAGAGCAGGCUCUUUUCAAUUAGG